GGGUGGGUCACGUUCGGUCAGCAACAGUAAUUUAGGGAGCAUCUUCUUAUUCGUCAGCAAGUCCUCGCAACAUCUUCACCUUCUUUUCGUUGAUUUCAGCUCAAACUGAAGGAAUCUGUUUGAUUGGUUAAUAACCUGGGGAAAAAUGUCAUUGAUUUUGGGUUGUAGGCACGUUAUCAAACAUGAAGGUGAUUGCCUGAACAUCCAAACAAAUCCCUCGGGUCUAAUAGACUAUGGUUUAAGUGUUAUUCCUGUUGAUAAUUUUGUUCUUGAUCUCAGUGAUUAUAAUUGUGAAACUGAGGAAGGACUCAGAAGAUUCGGAAGGGCCAUCCAAGACAGUUCCACUCGAAGUUCUUAAAAGAGAAAGAAGGCUGCUACAAGGAGAAUUGUUGCAGGAGAGCAGGGAUGCAAUAAUGGCCAAACACGCAUUCCUCCUGUUUACAUCAUAUCCACGAAGUCGUGCUCCCAAGUUGGGGAAGCACCUGCAAAUUGGGAGGAGGUCCUUGAAGAUGCACCAGUAGACGCUACGGGAUGACAUUCGUUUUUGUUAUUCAAACUGGGAGUCUUCAUGCACCAAAGAUGGUGAUUUAUUAUGGUAGCUUGAAAGUGAUUCAAGGGGUUUCUUUUUGAAGAUCCAAACUUUAUAAAGGUGGAGUGGGUCUGUGCUUCGAGCUGUCACUAAAGAAAAACUACAAUUAAGGUGAAAGAGGUAGUCAAGUAAACAUUUAGAGGUAGCCAAUUUGAAGGGGUUUUUCUCAUUUGGUUAUAUGAGUAUUGCCUCCCAAGCCCAAAAAAAAAUUUAGAAGCGGAUCAACAUAAUAAAGAAGUCAAGUAAUGAUCCGGUUUGGUUCUUAUUUAUCACUCUCUAAAUCUAAAGAGGCUUUACAAGGUGGUCUGUGAAGACUAUGCCAUCGUCGGCUAAAGCUUUCAAGUUGGUGGGGGAUGUACGAACUAUUCCGAAUUGGUUCACCCAUUUGGGCUUUUGCUUAUUUGUUUGUGUGGAAGAAUCUAUUCAUGGUUUAUUUGGAUUCCCUUGGGAGUUUAGAAAGGUCUUUAUUUUGAAGUUUUUUGGUUGUUUUAGAGCAACGGAUCGGUGCAAAAAGAAGAUCCAACGGUGUUUCGGUUCAUGUGUUUAAGGCAAGCCGGAUGAGAUUAAACUUUAGAGUUUAGAAGGUUAUGUGCAAUGGUUCAUUUAAGUUAUUUGACUUAUUUCUAAUUUAGAAGGGGAAUGUGCUGCUUAGGAGAACAUUUUUUUUAGAGCGGUAAAUAGUCUACAUGGAAAUGUUCUGCAUUUAGUGUAACUUAUUCAGAAUAAGUUUUGAGGGUGCCUUGCAUGGUACUUACCUCAAAGAAGUACCAAGGUAAUCCCAACUCUUCCGUUUAUGUAUGGAGUUUGUAGCUUAGUAAAUAUGGGUCACUGUACCAUCAUGUAAGAUACUGUUUUACCCAAAAAGAAAAAUAAUCUCUUUUUACCUUGCGAGUUGCGAUCCGUUUCUUUUAAUUCAUUGUAAGAUUUUGAUUUGGUUUUUAGGUUUAAUUACAGGGUUGCAAAAUACAAACUGAUUAGUUUUCAUCGGUUUAGUUUAACCUAUUUUGUGUUUGAUGCAGGGGCUAAAGCUUGGAGAAGGUGAGGUUGAGUUGGUGGUUCCUAUGCAGGGUAACAGGUGAAACAAAUGAAAAUAGUGAAAAAAAGCAACAAAGUUGCAAGAGCUUCUGGAUAGUAUUGCAGAAGGUAUAUGUUCUUUUACUGUUUGUUCUACUUGAGGUUAUAUGGUACUACAAAGGUUGAUGUAGUUACAGUAAGAUAAUUUUAUCCCUAGAUAUUUCCAUUGACUUUAUCUAAUCGAGUUUUGUGAGUCUGUUUUUGUUCGAUCUAUUUCGACUUUAAUGGGGUGGCAUAUUCGUUUUUUCCAUGGUUUGUAAUAAUGAUUUUGUUAGCAUCAAAGAUUCUGACAUCUUCUUCA